rnacentral:rRNA from 1 species
GCUUCUUUCCUCCCGAGUGCUUGCACUCAACUGGAAAGAGGAGUGGCGGACGGGUGAGUAACACGUGGGUAACCUACCCAUCAGAGGGGGAUAACACUUGGAAACAGGUGCUAAUACCGCAUAACAGUUUAUGCCGCAUGGCAUAAGAGUGAAAGGCGCUUUCGGGUGUCGCUGAUGGAUGGACCCGCGGUGCAUUAGCCAGUUGGUGAGGUAACGGCUCACCAAGGCCACGAUGCAUAGCCGACCUGAGAGGGUGAUCGGCCACACUGGGACUGAGACACGGCCCAGACUCCUACGGGAGGCAGCAGUAGGGAAUCUUCGGCAAUGGACGAAAGUCUGACCGAGCAACGCCGCGUGAGUGAAGAAGGUUUUCGGAUCGUAAAACUCUGUUGUUAGAGAAGAACAAGGACGUUAGUAACUGAACGUCCCCUGACGGUAUCUAACCAGAAAGCCACGGCUAACUACGUGCCAGCAGCCGCGGUAAUACGUAGGUGGCAAGCGUUGUCCGGAUUUAUUGGGCGUAAAGCGAGCGCAGGCGGUUUCUUAAGUCUGAUGUGAAAGCCCCCGGCUCAACCGGGGAGGGUCAUUGGAAACUGGGAGACUUGAGUGCAGAAGAGGAGAGUGGAAUUCCAUGUGUAGCGGUGAAAUGCGUAGAUAUAUGGAGGAACACCAGUGGCGAAGGCGGCUCUCUGGUCUGUAACUGACGCUGAGGCUCGAAAGCGUGGGGAGC